rnacentral:lncRNA from 1 species
AGACAUGGCUCUCACAGCCCUAGCUGUCCUGGAACUCACUAGGCUGGCCUCUGAGAUGGUUCAGUGGUUAAGAGUGCCAACUGCUCUUCCAAAGGUCCUGAGUUCAAAUCCCAGCAACCACAUGGUGGCUCACAACCAUCUGUAAUGGGAUCUGAUGCUCUCUUCUGGAGUGUCUGAAGACAGCUACAGUAUACUUACAUAUAAUAAAU